AUUGAACGCUGGCGGCAUGCCUUACACAUGCAAGUCGAACGGCAGCACGGGGGCAACCCUGGUGGCGAGUGGCGGACGGGUGAGUAAUGCAUCGGAACGUGCCCUGAAGUGGGGGAUAACGCAGCGAAAGCUACGCUAAUACCGCAUAUUCUGUGAGCAGGAAAGCAGGGGGAUCGCAAGACCUUGCGCUUUGGGAGCGGCCGAUGUCGGAUUAGCUAGUUGGUGGGGUAAAGGCCUACCAAGGCGACGAUCCGUAGCGGGUCUGAGAGGAUGAUCCGCCACACUGGGACUGAGACACGGCCCAGACUCCUACGGGAGGCAGCAGUGGGGAAUUUUGGACAAUGGGCGAAGCCUGAUCCAGCCAUGCCGCGUGAGUGAA
rnacentral:rRNA from 1 species